rnacentral:rRNA from 1 species
UACGGAGGGAGCUAGCGUUAUUCGGAAUUACUGGGCGUAAAGCGCACGUAGGCGGCUUUGUAAGUUAGAGGUGAAAGCCUGGAGCUCAACUCCAGAACUGCCUUUAAGACUGCAUCGCUUGAAUCCAGGAGAGGUGAGUGGAAUUCCGAGUGUAGAGGUGAAAUUCGUAGAUAUUCGGAAGAACACCAAUGGCGAAGGCGGCUCACUGGACUGGUAUUGACGCGUGAGG